UACAGAGGGUGCGAGCGUUAAUCGGAGUUACUGGGCGUAAAGGGCGCGUAGGCGGUUUAGUAAGUGUGAUGUGAAAGCCCCGGGCUUAACCUGGGAAGUGCAUCGCAAACUGCUAAACUAGAGUAGAUGAGAGGGUGAUGGAAUUUCCGGUGUAGCGGUGAAAUGCGUAGAGAUCGGAAGGAACGUCGAUGGCGAAGGCAGUCACCUGGCAUCAUACUGACGCUGAGGCGCGAAAGCGUGGGGAGCAAAC
rnacentral:rRNA from 1 species